GGGAACUCUUUGGUGCAUUCUUGGGAUUUCUGAAUGAAGACAUCAUCUGAGCCCUUACUGCUCUUCAUUCAGAGACUUUUACAUGGCAGUGGAAAUCAAGUAUCCUGCACAUGGACUACACCCUGAUUUCACCCUGAAUGGGGGUACCGAAUCAGGAACUGUUUGGAACUGAUGUGUCCCUCACUUACCAAAUUUCUCAGGACAGACAGUAGCUGCCAUCAGAGCUUUUCUGGAGCUUAUUCAAAUGGAAAAUAUCAGCCUUGGAGAAAGCCAGCUCUCCCAGCAGCUUCCAGGCCAGCGUGGGCAGCAGGGAAACAGAGGUUUCUGUGCAACUUUUGGCUGUCAAGAUCUCGACCACCACUGCACUAUUAAGACUGGGAGCCAUUGUAGUCACUUUUCCCUGCAGCAUAAGAACCUUUGGGAGAUGCUACUGUCUCAAGAACUGGUGACUUAAUUCAGCACAAUGAAGAAAUCCCUCUGUAUACUAGAAGAUAUCAAUAACAGACUAAACCCCAGGCUAUUCAGUUAUUUAAAUAAUCAGACUCUCUAUUUGGUACUAAUGUAUAGGGGAAAAGAAGGAAGCAACCUGAGAGAUUUAGGAAGUAUUAGGAAGAAAAAAGGAAAAAAAGAGAACAACUUCUGCACUGUGAGACACAUGCCAGUGGAACAUGGAUGACUGUACAAAAUGGAUGGAAAUACACUUUU